AUCGGCGUCACCCGGAGCAGCAGCCUUUCCCCAAGCCUCAAAGACUUGGAACUCAGCGGCCUUUUAAUCUGUUCCCAGGAUCAGCCGACCGAGAUUCCCUGCAACAGGUUCCUCCACCGAGUCCGGGAUUUAACCCUUUCCGCCUCCCUUCUCCACUUCUUGGGAAGAAAAUGCUCAUGAACCCAGAAGCCAGAGAGGGGAAGAACCAAGCUAGCUUUUCAACUCCCGCUCGGCGCACAGCUCAGGGGGAUCACUUUCCGCUCUAGUGAACUAAGCGUGCCCCAGGGGCUCUGGGAGGCACAAAUCUCAGUCCUCUCUCCGCAGCCUACUCACAACCGCGACCCGAAGCUGGGGUCCAAAGCUCCACCCCCCCACCUCCUCAGACGGAGACAGGUAGCCGCCAAUACUCGGACGACCCCGGGAGUCCCAGUUUUCCCAGUUCCACCAGCCCAAACCGAUCAAACUCGCCGCCGCCCUCGUGGCCGGACCUCGCCUUACCUGAAUGGUCUGGUUGGGGUCGCCGCCGGCCACCGGCCCCCCUACUAGCUUGCAGUAAAGGUCCUCGGUGGGCCUCGGGGGGCCCCGCGCUCCGGCCGGCGCCUCCUCGCCGCAGGUCGCAGAAGCGGAGAUGCGGGUGCCCUCGGCCAGGUUGAAGUAGGGUGGGUGCAGGCUGAAGCCUCCGCUGGCCCCCCCACCCCAGCUGCUUCUACUUUCGCCACCAGUCUCGGGUGCCCCAGUCACGCCGCGGAGAAACAGCAGCAGAGGCAGCAGCAGGGGCAGCGCGCAGAGAGACGCGUCCCCUCGGCCGUGCCCAGCUCCCCACCUCGCCAUCUUCUCAGGGGAGCGGGCGGCGGGCGCCGGGACGCGGGCUAAGAGGAGAAAGAGGAGGGGGUUCCUGGCUCAGAGAGGAACUGCAGCGCGCAUGGAGAGCAUCCAAGCACAUGAAAAGUCCAGUGUCCAGCCAGCAAUCCUGUAAAUUUGGGAGAUGCAGUGGUUCCAUUGGUGACCAGAUCCAGUAGCAGAGUCCACUAGAACCAGCAGCAAUAGUCACAGGCGUUGGAAGAUAAUUGAAUAACUCUGAGAGGGAUAUGUCUAGGAAGUAUACUUAUGAGCACAAGGAAGUUGGAAGAGGUUGUAAAUUAGAAGCUCAGCUAUCUGGCUCAUCAGCAGAUAGAUUUAUCUAAGAAAUGUCUCACCUUGUGAGUAAUCAGCUCAGCAGAGAGAUAUCCAUCCAUCCAUCCAUUUACCUAUCUAUCUAUUUAUCUAUCAUCUAUGUAUCUAACUACCUAUCUAUCUAUGUACCCCACUCACAAUGAACUUCAUGAGAACAGGAAAAAAAAAAAACUUCACAGGCUAGGGAGAUACCUCUUUGCCAUAAAUGUUCUUUACAUAUAUAUUUCACGGCUUUAAAUUAGUGCACAUUUGUCAUGAAUUUGGUGGGAAUGUUUUAUAUCACCUGUGCCAUGACCACUCAAUAAACAUCUUCAGUAUAAGCUAAUGAAGUAUGAAUGUUAAUGACUGGUAAUUGGAAAAUAUUGGUAAAGACUCAUAAAUGAGAGUUUUAUGUCAUUUCUCAAGAUUAUUCCUAGAAUUUUGAAGAGUUGUCCCAGUUGUCCUUUGGGGCCUAAUCUAUGAACAAAAGUUAUGUGUAGAAAACUGACUCUAGAAAGGCUGCUAAAUAUAUAUGUACAUAUGUGUAUUUAAAUGCUAGAUUCCUUAAUAGAAUAUAAACUCCUUGAGGGCAGAAGGUAUUUUCCUUGUAUCUCCAAUGUCAGAUACAGUACCUGAUGUAUAGUAGGUACUUAAAAAAUGCUUAUUGAUUGAUAAUUCAUGUAUCAUAAUUAUUUAUGAAAAUACUUUUCCCCUUUCAGAUUGUAAGCCUAUUGAGAGCAAGGUCUAAAUCAUAAAUAUCUUAGAAUCUUUGGUUCCUUAAAAAAAAAAAAAAACCUUCAGUUGCUCCCUAUUUAUUUCUCAGAUAAAAUAGAAACUUCCCACACUGAGUUUAAGAUAUUCUAUAAUCUAGUUCCAAUCUACUUUUCCAGCUUUAUUUCAUAUUAUUGCCCUUCAAGUUCUCAGUUUUAUGGCUAAACUAUUUCUUUAAAUCAACAUUCUAUCAUGUCCUUCUAUGUAUCUUCACAAGCUAUUCUCUAAUCUAGAAUAUACUACCUUUUCCUUAUGACUUUCAGAUUUCAUUUCUUCCUUACUGUGUUACCACGUCUAUUAAUCCUUCUAUGAUCUCCCCAACUGUUACUGCUCCCUUCCUACCUCAGACAUUCCUUGAGCACUUUAUUCUCUUUUUCUUGCCCCUUUUACCUCUAUUUGAUAUUAUACUUGUGUGUGUACUUGUUAGAUCCCACCAGUAGAAUACAAACUCUUAGAGAGCAAGGACAAUUUCAUUUUGUUUUUGUAUCCCAAAUCAUUAACACAGCAUAAUAAAUGAUAAAUCAAUGUUGAAUUGAACUUAAUUAAAUUGAAUAAUGUCUGUUCUUUUUAUGUAUUAAAUAGAUUUGUUGAAUACAUGAAAGAAUGAUUGUCCUUGAAAAAGAAGAAUUAAGCCUGGUUAGUAGGACACCUUGGGGAGUGGUCAAGUUUCUCUUGUUACCUGUAGUUCUGGGCCCUCAUGACCCUGAGGUCACGUGAAGUAGAUUUGAUUUUAGGAGUUCCCUCAAAAGGUUCAUGUUCUCUCUUUUGCUUUAUUGUCCUGACCUGAAAUUUACUCCAGAUAAAUCCCCUUAUAAACUUGUGUAUAUUUGUGUAUACACAAAUGUGGGCGAGAGGGGUACCUAUACAAGCACUCAAGGUUAAUAAAUUUGUAUGGGUAGAGAAUAACCUUUAUUUUAUUCUAUAGAAAAGAAACUUUGUAGGAAUCAAAGUACUCAUAGCAACCUAUAAGCAGAUAAAGAAGAUGGAAAACCAUUUAAUUACCCUGUAAGUUUCUUUCAGAAAGGAAAUGAUUCCUAAUAAGGCAACUCCUACAAAAUUUAAGUGAAUAUCUAAUUCUCCCCGUGGGUCCUAAAUAGUCUCCCUACCUAUAGUUUGGACUCUCGCUGGAGGUUAAAAACAUUGUAGGGUUUCUAGAUAGGUAAUCUCCUUCUCUUGAGACUUGCAUUAUCUUGUAUUACCAUUUCCCCUCACCCACAGCAUUAUUGUUCUUUCAACUACAAAGACCUAUUGCUUCUUCUUUUUCAAGAAUGACAUUGCUCAGGAUUUUCCUUUCUUUCUAGGAGGCCAGAUUGCUGAACUCUUAAAUUUGGAGGUAACUUAUGAGGCAGUCCCCAAAAUUGACACUAAAGAAAUCUCUCUCCUUUAACUUAAAAAGAGAUUAAGCUACCUAGGAAAUUCCCUUUGCCUAGCUAGAAGGCUAAAUGCUAAUACUUUCAAAUUAGGUGUUACUUAUAAAGUACCUUUUCAUACUGAUUCCUUUCUUCAAUUAAAAGUACAGAGUUAAUAUUUAACAUGUAUUGGUCAACUUGCCAUCAGGGGGAG
rnacentral:lncRNA from 1 species